rnacentral:lncRNA from 1 species
UAGCAAUUUGCAUUAGCAUUUGCAAGGUUGGUCUUCUCUUCGCCCCGCUACCCCGGCUGGCUCUCCGAGUGCUACCUCUACUUUAAGUAGAAGUACUUCUACUACAUAGUAGAAGUGCUUCUGCUUGAAGUAGAGGUAGCACUUGGGGAGCCGGCCGGGGUAGGGGGAUUUUUUUUAUUUUUUUUUUCAAUUCCCAUGGGAAUUGAACUUUUAAUUAAAAAGGAGUCACUUGUAUAAUUAAUGAACAAUUUAUUGAAAAGAACUUGUAAAUUUUACAAUUUGAAUAACAAUAAAAAGAGAACAACCACUGCAUUACUGUACUUAUUUAAAUAACAAUAGAAGAAAACAGAACAUGGCACAAAGAGAACAAUUAACAUUGUGUUCAACACAAGUGAAUAAACACAACAUUAAAACAUCUUGUUUGCCCGCGAAUUAACAUUAAAAACGUUAACUCUUGAGAAAACAAGAGGAACUUGGUCUUUUCAAGAUAAAUGUUUAUACUUCAAGAUAAAUAAUU